rnacentral:rRNA from 1 species
AGAGUUUGAUCCUGGCUCAGGAUGAACGCUAGCGGCAGGCCUAACACAUGCAAGUCGAGGGGCAUCGGGAUUGAAGCUUGCUUCAAUUGCCGGCGACCGGCGCACGGGUGCGUAACGCGUAUGUAACCUACCUAUAACAGGGGCAUAACACUGAGAAAUUGGUACUAAUUCCCCAUAAUAUUCGGAGAGGCAUCUCUCCGGGUUGAAAACUCCGGUGGUUAUAGAUGGACAUGCGUUGUAUUAGCUAGUUGGUGAGGUAACGGCUCACCAAGGCAACGAUACAUAGGGGGACUGAGAGGUUAACCCCCCACACUGGUACUGAGACACGGACCAGACUCCUACGGGAGGCAGCAGUGAGGAAUAUUGGUCAAUGGACGCAAGUCUGAACCAGCCAUGCCGCGUGCAGGAAGACGGCUCUAUGAGUUGUAAACUGCUUUUGUACGAGGGUAAACUCACCUACGUGUAGGUGACUGAAAGUAUCGUACGAAUAAGGAUCGGCUAACUCCGUGCCAGCAGCCGCGGUAAUACGGAGGAUUCAAGCGUUAUCCGGAUUUAUUGGGUUUAAAGGGUGCGUAGGCGGUUUGAUAAGUUAGAGGUGAAAUCCCGGGGCUUAACUCCGGAACUGCCUCUAAUACUGUUAGACUAGAGAGUAGUUGCGGUAGGCGGAAUGUAUGGUGUAGCGGUGAAAUGCUUAGAGAUCAUACAGAACACCGAUUGCGAAGGCAGCUUACCAAACUAUAUCUGACGUUGAGGCACGAAAGCGUGGGGAGCAAACAGGAUUAGAUACCCUGGUAGUCCACGCAGUAAACGAUGAUAACUCGUUGUCGGCGAUACACAGUCGGUGACUAAGCGAAAGCGAUAAGUUAUCCACCUGGGGAGUACGUUCGCAAGAAUGAAACUCAAAGGAAUUGACGGGGGCCCGCACAAGCGGAGGAACAUGUGGUUUAAUUCGAUGAUACGCGAGGAACCUUACCCGGGCUUGAAAGUUACUGACGAUUCUGGAAACAGGAUUUCCCUUCGGGGCAGGAAACUAGGUGCUGCAUGGUUGUCGUCAGCUCGUGCCGUGAGGUGUCGGGUUAAGUCCCAUAACGAGCGCAACCCCUACCGUUAGUUGCCAUCAGGUCAAGCUGGGCACUCUGGCGGGACUGCCGGUGUAAGCCGAGAGGAAGGUGGGGAUGACGUCAAAUCAGCACGGCCCUUACGUCCGGGGCUACACA